AUACGAAGGGGGCAAGCGUUGUUCGGAAUAACUGGGCGUAAAGCGCACGUAGGCGGAAUGUUAAGUUAGAGGUGAAAUCCCAGGGCUCAACCCUGGAACGGCCUUUAAUACUGGCAAUCUAGAGACCGAGAGAGGUGAGUGGAAUUCCGAGUGUAGAGGUGAAAUUCGUAGAUAUUCGGAGGAACACCAGUGGCGAAGGCGGCUCACUGGCUCGGUACUGACGCUGAGGUGCGAAAGCGUGGGGAGCAAACAGGAUUAGAUACCCUAGUAGUCC
rnacentral:rRNA from 1 species